rnacentral:rRNA from 1 species
UACGUAGGGUGCGAGCGUUGUCCGGAAUUAUUGGGCGUAAAGGGCUCGUAGGCGGUUUGUCGCGUCGGGAGUGAAAACCAUGAGCUUAACUCACGGCUUGCUUUCGAUACGGGCAGACUAGAGGCAUGCAGGGGAGAACGGAAUUCCUGGUGUAGCGGUGAAAUGCGCAGAUAUCAGGAGGAACACCGGUGGCGAAGGCGGGUCUCUGGGCAGUAACUGACGCUGAGGAGCGAAAGCGUGGGGAGCGAACAGG